rnacentral:rRNA from 1 species
AACGAACGCUGGCGGCAUGCCUAACACAUGCAAGUCGAACGCUCGUAGCAAUACGAGAGUGGCGGACGGGUGAGAAACGCGUGGGUACCUGCCCUGUAGUACGGAAUAACCGCGGGAAACUGCGGCUAAUACCGUAUACGCCCUAAGGGGGAAAGAUUUAUCGCUACAGGAGGGGCCCGCGUCGGAUUAGCUAGUUGGUGAGGUAACGGCCCACCAAGGCGAUGAUCCGUAGCUGGUCUGAGAGGACGACCAGCCACACUGGGACUGAGACACGGCCCAGACUCCUACGGGUGGCUG